GAUGAACGCUGGCGGCGUGCCUAAUACAUGCCAGUCGAGCGAACAGACGAGGAGCUUGCUCCUCUGACGUUAGCGGCGGACGGGUGAGUAACACGUGGAUAACCUACCUAUAAGACUGGGAUAACUUCGGGAAACCGGAGCUAAUACCGGAUAAUAUAUUGAACCGCAUGGUUCAAUAGUUAAAGACGGUUUUGCUGUCACUUAUAGAUGGAUCCGCGCCGCAUUAGCUAGUUGGUACGGUAACGGCUUACCAAGGCAACGAUGCGUAGCCGACCUGAGAGGGUGAUCGGCCACACUGGCACUGAGACACGGCCCAGACUCCUACGGGAGGCAGCAGUCGGGAAUCUUCCGCAAUGGGCGAAAGCCUGACGGAGCAACGCCGCGUGAGUGAUGAAGGUCUUCGGAUCGUAAAACUCUGUUAUUCGGGAAGAACAAAUGUGUAAGUAACUAUGCACGCCUUGACGGUACCUAAUCAGAAAGCCACGGCUAACUACGUG
rnacentral:rRNA from 1 species